UACAGAGGUCCCGAGCGUUGUUCGGAUUCACUGGGCGUAAAGUGUGCGUAGGUGGUGAGGUAAGUCGGAUGUGAAAGCUCGGAGCUCAACUCCGAAAUGGCAUUGGAAACUACCUUGCUCGAGGGUUGGAGGGGGGACUGGAAUACUUGGUGUAGCAGUGAAAUGCGUAGAUAUCAAGUGGAACACCAGUGGCGAAGGCGAGUCCCUGGACAACUCCUGACACUGAGGCACGAAAGCUAGGGGAGCAAACAGG
rnacentral:rRNA from 1 species